UGAGGAAUAUUGGGCAAUGCCCGCAAGGGUGACCCAGCAACGCCGCGUGGAGGAUGAAUGUCGUAAGAUUGUAAACUCCUGUUAGAGGGGAAGAAUAGUACCGGUUGGACCGGUAUAUGACUGUACCCUCAGAGAAAGCCCCGGCUAACUACGUGCCAGCAGCCGCGGUAAUACGUAGGGGGCAAGCGUUGUCCGGAUUUACUGGGUGUAACGGGCGCGCAGGCGGGAUAAAAAGUCAGUGGUGAAAUCCUACAGCUUAACUGUAGAACUGCCUUUGAUACUUUUAUUCUUGAGUUCGGGAGAGAGAGACGGAAUUCCAGGUGUAGUGGUGAAAUACGUAGAUAUCUGGAAGAACACCAGUUGCGAAGGCGGUCUCUUGGUCCGACACUGACGCUGAGGCGCGAAAGCGUGGGGAGCAAACA
rnacentral:rRNA from 1 species